rnacentral:rRNA from 1 species
UACGGAGGGUGCGAGCGUUGUCCGGAAUCACUGGGCGUAAAGGGCGCGUAGGCGGCCUAAGGAGUCGGGGGUGGAAGUCCGGGGCUCAACCCCGGAUCGGCCUUCGAGACUCUUAGGCUCGAGCACAGUAGAGGCGGGUGGAAUUCCGGGUGUAGCGGUGGAAUGCGUAGAGAUCCGGAAGAACACCGGUGGCGAAGGCGGCCCGCUGGGCUGUGGCUGACGCUGAGGCGCGACAGCGUGGGGAGCAAACAGG